rnacentral:rRNA from 1 species
AACGUAGGAGCCUAGCGUUAUCCGAAUUUACUGGGCGUAAAGCGCGUGCAGGCGGCUUGGUAAGUGGAUUGUGAAAUCUCCCGGCUCAACUGGGAGGGGACGGUCCAGACUGCGAGGCUGGAGGCAGGGAGAGGGAGGUGGAAUUCCCGGUGUAGUGGUGAAAUGCGUAGAGAUCGGGAGGAACACCAGUGGCGAAAGCGGCCUCCUGGCCCUGACCUGACGCUGAGAGGCGAAAGCUAGGGGAGCGAACGGGAUUAGAUACCCCGGUAGUCC